AUUAAAGUCUCUAUUAUUUUCCAAUGCACAUCAAUGGGAGCAUUUGCUAUAAGAAUAACUACAUGAAUAACUCUCCUCAUUCUCCAAUUUUCUUUUUCCAUUAAAUUUAUUCCCCUUCAACCUUUGGAUGAGCGACUGUUUUUUUCAAUUUUAUUUUUAGGGUUGUAUUUUCUUCUUCCUGUUUAUUGAUUUUUCCUAAAUAGUGUUGUUGUUCUCUUUAGAUUCGCACAUUCAGUCCAGGGAUCUGAACGAGAGGGUUGGAGAAAUCAGAUUCGCUUAUGCAAGAAAAAAGAGGGAGGAAGAGAUGGCUAAAGAGAAGGAGCAGAAUAAUUUAUUCAAAGUUGUUGUCAGUCAGCUUAAAGUUCCAACUGGUUAUUAUUUCACUGUGUAAUAUUUUUUGGGAUUAUAGUUAAUGGGUUUCUGUUAUUCAGAUACAAUGGAGAAAUGGGAUGCAGAAAGUAUUGGAGGCGAAGCAAAAUAAUCAGAAUAAAUCGAAAGGAGUAUAAUCAGAACAAAUCAAAAGGACUAUAAUCAAAACAAAUC